rnacentral:rRNA from 1 species
ACGGAAGGCAGCAGUGAGGAAUAUUGCACAAUGGGGGAAACCCUGAUGCAGCGACGCCGCGUGAGUGAAGAAGUAUUUCGGUAUGUAAAGCUCUAUCAGCAGGGAAGAAAAUGACGGUACCUGACUAAGAAGCCCCGGCUAACUACGUGCCAGCAGCCGCGGUAAUACGUAGGGGGCAAGCGUUAUCCGGAAUUAUUGGGCGUAAAGAGUGCGUAGGUGGUUUCCUAAGCAUGGGGUUUAAGGCAAUGGCUUAACCAUUGUUCGCCCCAUGAACUGGGUUACUUGAGUGCUGGAGAGGAAAGCGGAAUUCCUAGUGUAGCGGUGAAAUGCGUAGAUAUUAGGAGGAACACCAGUGGCGAAGGCGGCUUUCUGGACAGUUACUGACACUGAGGCACGAAAGUGUGGGGAGCAAACAGGAUUAGAUACCCUGGUA